AACUCCCCGACCAGGGAUCGAACCCACACUCCCUGCAUUGGAAGGUGAAGUCUUAACCUCUGGAAUGCUAGGAAAGUCCCCAUGAUGGGCUUUAUAGGCCCUAGAAUACCAUUUCUCAACCCAUUAGAUUUCAAUGGACCUCAGGGUUAUAACGAAUGUUUUGGCCAACAAAGAAAAAGAAAUUGAACUGAAAAAGGCCCAGAACUCAUCAUGCAGCCUCUACGCUCUCUCUAGCUAGCCUUCUUGAAGGUUUAAUUGACAAAAUAGACAUUGUCUCUACGGUGAUCUUUCUCCCGGAACUUUUUUUAAUACCAUUUUUCUACAUCAAAGAGUAAAGCUUUAAAGGUAGACUUACCAAUGGCUCUGUGAGGGAUCUCCUUUGUGUUUACAUGAUUUAGUAUAUGCACCACUCAUUGUUCUAAUACAUUUUUAAAGUAGAACUCUUUUCAUGUCUGCAAAGAUCUUUCACAGAUCUUUCUCAGUCCUGAAGAUAUCUAUCUGUUCUUCUUGGACAAAACAAACAAAGAAACCCUUGGCUACAAAAUGCUAUGUAGGGAUUAAACCACCAUCUGACUCUGAAUUCUUGAGUUCUUCCUGUCCAUGUACCCACAGUUAUUCACCUUUCUUUAAAUAUAAUUAAUGUAUACAUUUUUUAAAGUCAUACGAGAAAUAGUAAGUGAACGUUAAGUAAUAGAAUUAAUUGAAGCAGCAGAGGUUAAUCACAAAGUAUGUGUGUAUUUAUUCUAGAAGCCAUUCGUCCGGAAUGUGUAUACAGAUAUUUGGACCUAAUGUACGAGUUAACACACAUCAUACUAUGUUUUACAUUUUCAGUUAAGAUUCAUCAUUGUUUCCUGAUUGAUCCCAGUCUUUGUAAUUAUGAUUAUAAUUUUAUAAAGUCAGAAAGUGUCUAACUGAUCAACAGUGACAGAGUAUUAACAGAAAAUGCGUUCAUUCUUACUUAUCACAAUAUUUCAUGAUUUUGAAUGACACAUACCCACUCAGUAGUGUUUAUGUAUUUGCAAAUCCUGAUCUACUGAAGCAGGUUUGCUUCGUUUCUUCUUACUUGAUACUGAAUAUUGCUUGCAGCACUUCUCAAGACCUUUCACCAUCUAUAUAUUUAUAUUGUAUAUUUAAUAAUAAGACAAUUGCUGAAGGACUGAAUUAUUGGCUCAAUUGCAUGCUAACACAUUCUUUAUAGACUAUUUUCCCAGUAUGAGUUUUCUGAUGAAUAGCAAGUGAAAGAUUUUCCACAUUGUCUUUAGAAUUGGCAUCUCCUCAGUGUGAGCACUUUCUUGUUCAGUCAGGAAUAAGGAAUCACUGAAUAAUGUCUUUCCUUCAUUACACUGAGACUAUUUUUUCAGUGUGAACCCUCUCAUGUCUAAAGACUCCAUGACUAAUGGAACUCUAGCAUUCAUUUCAUCGGAUUUCUUCUACAGCAGUGAUUAGAUGGUUUACCCCAAGAGGGCUCUCCUCGUAGUAAACCUUGGGAUGUCUUCUCUACUGUGUCAGGGAUGCAGCCCACUCUGAGUUCUCUGUGUAUUCUGAGGCUGGAGCUCCAACUGAAGGCUCUUCCACCAUGAUUACAGGGUCAGGGUUUCUCUCCACAUGACUUUCCUGUGGUUUAAAAGGGAUAAUUUCUGGCUGAAGGCUCAAUAUCACUGAUUACAAACACAGGGUGUCUACUCGGUAUGAAUUCUCUGGUGUUGAUAAAAGUGGGAGCUCUGGGUAAAGGCUGCACCACAUGGAUUCCAGACAUAGGGUGGCUCUCCUGUGAGUUUUCUAGUGUGUAUAAGCAUGAGAGCUGCGUUUAAAGGCUUUUCCACAUUCAUUGCAUUUGUAGGCUUUCUCAUUAGUGUGAAUUCUCCCCCAUGACUAAGGUUAUGGCUAUGACUAAGUGUUUUCUCACAUAAAUGAUAUUCCUUGUGGUUUCUCUCCUGUGUGAAUGUGCUCAUGUUAUUGAAGCGUUGGAUGGUCACUGAAAGCUCUUCCACAGUCAUUCCAAACAUAGGGCUUCUCUCCCGUGUGAGUUUAUUGGUGUGAAUAAAAGUCAGCUCUGUCUCUGCAUUACCUUGAUAAGGUUCGUCUUCUCUAGUGUGAGCUGUUGGUGUAUAAAUGCGAGGCUUCAGCUGAAUUAUUUCCCACGUUCAGCACAUUUGCAAGAGUCACUCCAGAGUGCACUCUCUCAUGUUGUCUAAGGUUGGAGGGUGACUAAAAACCUUCCACAUUCUGAGAUCUGCAUGGUUUCCCUCUAGUAAAAUUAGCUUAUGUUAAUUCAGUGACGAAUAACGGCUGAAGUCUCUUCCAUUCGGGCUGAAAGUGUAACACACGUGGAGUUAAGGUUGUUGUAUGUGACAUGUCCUCAUAUUCAUUGCAUUCAGUGGGCUCUUCUCCAGCAUGAAAUCCCUGCUAUUGACAAGGAAAGAGAGGCUGUUAAAAAUUACUCACAUAAUAAUCAUUCAGUCAUUUCUCUACAUGUGACUUCUAGGCGGCUUCCUCAGUGAUGGUCUUCAUUGAAAAUCUCCCCAUGUUAGUUACAUUCACAGAUUUAUCUGCUUGAUUUCCGCAUUGUCCCUGCAUAAGGAUGCAGAGGAGGGCAGAUGGUGGCAGAGUUCCUGAUAAUGAAACAACAGGUCAUCCCUUGGGUUCAGUGGCUUCCUUCAUCAUGUUACUGGCUGCAGUGGACUUAGGAAUGCGGUGAACACAGGGGAUAGAGAAUGACUCAGAACAGAAAUCUCUAGGCCAGUGGGGAGCAGACGUUUCAUCAGAGUAUCUGAUUGCUUGAAGAUGAUGAAGGAGGGUUUUGGGAUGCAGAAUUUUCUAAAUCCAUCUGGAAGCUUGGGAACCUCUCCCUCCAGCCACAAGGCCCUGCCCCACACACUGCAGCAACCAAUCUGGAAAACCAGACUCCAACCACCGCAACAAUGCACCCCAAGGGUCAGGACUUGGUCAGUGACUCACAGCUUCAUCAUUUUCAGUCCUUUCCAUGUAGAAUCAAAUGCGGGGAAAGCCAAAUAUGUCCCCUUAAGUAAUCACUUAGGACGACCCUCUUCCUAUCAACUUGUCUCCAGCCUCCUCACAUCACAAGCUCUCGGGGGAGCACAUGCCUUCCUUUUUUUGCCACCAGAAAGUGUCCCCACUCUUAUGUGCCCUGAGUCUCAGCCUGAUGUGAGUGGUGGUGGCUGACUCCUGUGCUCUAUAGACAAGUUCUGAGUAAAUAGUGCUUGUUCUCA